UGGUGAUCACGUCAAUAUUGUUCUAUAGCUUUAUUUUCUUUUAAAGAUUCCACACAGCUAUUAUUCUUACAACAUGAAGAGACCAGUUUUACUAUGUGUUGUUAUGUUAAUACUUGCUGUUGAUAGUAAGUUUUGCUGUGCUUCAAAUACAAUACACAAAUGUUUGCUUCUCUUUAUUUGAAUUGUCCGAAUUUCGAAAUUCUAACAACCUGCUGAAAUAUAAAGGCAACUUUAAAUUUACAGUGGAAAAACUAUUUACAUGCAAAGAAAUUUCUUCCGUUGAGGACAGAAUAUGUACUGGUAUAUGAAUCUAUUUACAAACACUUAUAUACAAUACAAUGGUUUCAGAAGAAUAUACAAUUUAGCCAGAAGGACCGAGUCUGGACCCACAUACUUUAUGGACUUGCUUCAUCUUUUUAGCUCAGAAUUUUUGUUUAAUUUGCUCAUCAAUUUUCUAAUCUUUAGUGUAUUAUCAUUAGCCAAAUAGUAUUUUCAAAGGUAUAAUUUUCUACGGUCGUUAAAAAUGUACAUUCUAGUUAGAUAAUGAAAUUCGUCUCCAAUGCUACCAAUAUUACAAAGAUGACAUUUUCUUUAAUUUCUAUUAACAUUAUUCGACCUGCCUACAUCUCUAUUGGGAUAAUCAUUAUUUUUGUUUCAGUCAUGGAAUCACGUGAUUAUUGUUCUGGAAGGGCUGAAAUGGGAUGCAGUCUAUUUUGUAGUCGGCUACCAACACCAUGUCCAUUUUUCACGUGUAGUAAGAAAGAUUCUGAUGUCACAUGUCUUUGCCAGCGUUGCUUCGGCAAAUAUUAACAUUCUGCAAUUUCUGGUAAUUUCUUUAUUUAACUUUCAUUCAUUAUAAGAUCUUAUAAGUGUAGCAAUUUAAACAGAGAAUGGAGGACGUGAAAAACGUUUGAUAAAAAUUUGCUCUACAUUGCUUAUUAUUGAAACAUUAAAAUUGAGAAUGGAAAUGUGCCAAAGAGACAACAACCCGACCAUAGAAAAAAAAACAACAGCAGAAGGUCACCUGUAGCGAGACAACCUAUUUGUAUAAUUGGUAAUCGCUGCAUUAUAAAAGAUUUAGAACAGUAAUCGAAAUGGGUAAUCUCCGUAUAAAUGAUAGAAUUCAUUAGAAAUGACCACAGAUCAUCAAAAUCAUGUGCGUGUAUUUAAUCAGAAACACAAAGCUGAUUACAAAAUCCCAUACAAAAUCCUGAGGUAUUCAUCUUUUCAGGACCAAAAUACUUUAAAAUGUUAAAACAGCUUAUUAGAAGUUAAAUAUGCUUAAAUUAUUUCUCAUUUUAGGAGCAUUUACAUGGAGGAGUAAAUUCAGAUCUAUAGAGAAUCUAGUAUGUUUUCGUCAUAUAAUAAAC
rnacentral:lncRNA from 1 species